UGACGCAGCUGCAUGUGCUCCUCCUUAUUUCCCUUCUUCUUUCCUCUCUUUUCCCUCAUUCUUCUCCUUUUUCUCCGUCUCUUUUCCUUCUUCUCCUCUUUCUUUUUUCGUUUGGUUCCACCCCCCUUUCCGGCGGUGGCAGCAGCAGCAGCUUCGCCGCUCCUCUAUCCCCUCUCUUUUUCUCUUCUUGUCUCUCUUUUUGUUCUUCUCUCUUUCUAUUCCUCCUCUUCUUUUUUCCUCUUCUCCUAUCUUAGUUCAGAAGACGGCUGCGACAGCGGUGUCACCGUCGCUUUCCUCUCCUUUCUCCUUUUUUUCUUCUUGUCCUCCUCUUUUCCUUCUUGUCCUCCUUUUCCCUCCUACUGAUGACCACAACAAC
rnacentral:lncRNA from 1 species